AGCCUCAAACUCCUUCUCUCUCCUUCGAUCUCCUUCUCCAUAACUGCGCCGCAAGCAACGCCGCUCUCCUCCUUCUCAGUCCGAAAUCGGCCGCCGUCAAUUUGAACCAAAUACAACUACAACAACAAAAUUGAAUCUGUUAUCAAUUCAAGAUCACAAAUUCGAGGUUGGUGUGUGAACCAUCAAAUAGUUGAAUUUUUAUUUUUGGGCGUUUGAAGGCGUUCUGGUUGAUGCGAAGCCAUGGUUCCGUUUGAAUACAAGCCGUAUUUGGAUUCCAAAACAUAAAAGCUCAUUGCAGGUUGCUAGUCACUCAUGAUGAUUAUAGCAUGAUGACUAAGCUACCACAGGAUAAGACAUCAGUGGUGACAAUAUUAAGUAACCCAGUUGAUUGUGUAUUCAGUACAUAUUUAUUUAAAAUUGAAGUAGCUGCUAGAUUUUUGGUGCAUCCUAACUUAACUUCUGCCGUACAAAUGGCUGGACGUUAGUGAAAGAAAAACAGUGUGGUUAGCACGCUAGAUAUAUGGCCAUGGAAGUAUUUGGUUCCAUGGAUGAGAGAAGACCUAUUUGCUAGGUAUGUGGUAGUGAUGGCAAUACUAGAGAUGCUACUCCAAAUGAAGCUAUUGUAGUGGUGGUGAUACAGCAAGCUGUCAAUGGAAUUAGCCAGAUUUCUUUUAGUGUCGACGAAAGUGUGACACCCAAGAAGCCUACCUCUCUGCCAGAGGUAGAAAAGCAACGUGAAUUGAGUGGCACUCUAGAAGUUGAGGCAGACUCAAAGAUCAAAAAGGGACUAUCAUAUGCCAAGUGCAAGGAACUCAGUGGAAAUAACAUUUUUGGCCCACCUCCGGAAAAUCUUCCUCGAUCAUUGGCUAUUGCACGUUCAUUGGAGUCAAAAGAAAAGGACAUGGGUGAGCCAGCACCAAGAAAUCUUCCAACCCUGCUGGAGGACAGAGUAAUAUUAUGUUUGGUGACGAUCCUGCUGUCAAGUCAACAAGGAAGCUUCACAACCAGAGGUUCCAAGAGCUGAUAGGUGAAAGAGCAGGCAACAGAACCAGCAGCCUGAACCAGACCUAAGCAGCCAGAAACAGAAAGCAGUAGCCAGCAACAACUUCUCCAGACCUUGAUUCUGUAUUUUUUUUCUUCAGUUUUUUAAAGUGUAAUAUUACAAGUUAUUGAAGAAAAUAUAUGUGUUUUAUGUAUAUUAUGA